rnacentral:rRNA from 1 species
UGGUGGAGUGAUUUGUCUGGUUAAUUCCGAUAACGAACGAGACCUUAACCUGCUAAAUAGUUACGUUAACAAUUGUUGACGGUUUUAACUUCUUAGAGGGACUAUUGAUGUUUAAUUCAAUGGAAGUUUGAGGCAAUAACA